AACGUAGGAGCCUAGCGUUAUCCGAAUUCACUGGGCGUAAAGCGCGUGCAGGCGGUUCGGUAAGUUGGAUGUGAAAUCUCCUGGCUCAACUGGGAGAGGACGUUCAAGACUGUCGGACUAGAGGACGGUAGAGGAAGGUAGAAUUCCCGGUGUAGUGGUGAAAUGCGUAGAUAUCGGGAGGAAUACCAGUGGCGAAGGCGGCCUUCUGGGCCGUUCCUGACGCUCAGACGCGAAAGCUAGGGGAGCAAACGGG
rnacentral:rRNA from 2 species